rfam:Firmicutes bacterium CAG:56 genomic scaffold, scf491
AUCCACCUGGGAUGUGCGACACUCCUGUUAUUUUGAACCUGCAAUGUUAUAACAGGGAAUCCUAUAUUGCUUUAUACAAUGUCAUGCCGUUUUUUGUAAAUGGAAGACAACGGAUACGGCUGCGGAUACCCACCUGGCCUGGCCAGGAAUCAAAAGGCAGGAAACGGCAUUCUGGGAAUGAA